CGUCUUGGUUAUUGAUGUUAAGUGCUUGCAUUUAACUGAUUUCACAUUGAGACGAGUGGCGAACUGGUGAGUAACACGUGGGUAACCUGCCCUUGAAGUAGGGGAUAACACUUGGAAACAGGUGCUAAUACCGUAUAACAACCAAAACCACCUGGUUUUGGUUUAAAAGAUGGCUUCGGCUAUCACUUUAGGAUGGACCCGCGGCGUAUUAGCUUGUUGGUAAGGUAACGGCCUACCAAGGCAAUGAUACGUAGCCGACCUGAGAGGGUAAUCGGCCACAUUGGGACUGAGACACGGCCCAAACUCCUACGGGAGGCAGCAGUAGGGAAUCUUCCACAAUGGACGAAAGUCUGAUGGAGCAACGCCGCGUGAGUGAUGAAGGGUUUCGGCUCGUAAAACUCUGUUGUUGGAGAAGAACAGGUGUGAGAGUAACUGUUCACAUCUUGACGGUAUCCAACCAGAAAGCCACGGCUAACUACGUGCCAGCAGCCGCGGUAAUACGUAGGUGGCAAGCGUUGUCCGGAUUUAUUGGGCGUAAAGCGAGCGCAGGCGGUUUCUUAGGUCUGAUGUGAAAGCCUUCGGCUUAACCGGAGAAGUGCAUCGGAAACCAGGAGACUUGAGUGCAGAAGAGGACAGUGGAACUCCAUGUGUAGCGGUGAAAUGCGUAGAUAUAUGGAAGAACACCAGUGGCGAAGGCGGCUGUCUGGUCUGUAACUGACGCUGAGGCUCGAAAGCAUGGGUAGCGAACAGGAUUAGAUACCCUGGUAGUCCAUGCCGUAAACGAUGAGUGCUAAGUGUUGGAGGGUUUCCGCCCUUCAGUGCUGCAGCUAACGCAUUAAGCACUCCGCCUGGGGAGUACGACCGCAAGGUUGAAAC
rnacentral:rRNA from 1 species